rnacentral:tRNA from 1 species
AGAGAAUAAACUAAGAAGGUUAGUGGGUUCAUACCCCAAAUGUAUAGUUGAGCUAUUUUUCUU